AGUGAACGCUGGCGGUAGGCCUAACACAUGCAAGUCGAACGGCAGCACAGUAAGAGCUUGCUCUUACGGGUGGCGAGUGGCGGACGGGUGAGGAAUACAUCGGAAUCUACUUUUUCGUGGGGGAUAACGUAGGGAAACUUACGCUAAUACCGCAUACGACCUACGGGUGAAAGCAGGGGAUCUUCGGACCUUGCGCGAUUGAAUGAGCCGAUGUCGGAUUAGCUAGUUGGCGGGGUAAAGGCCCACCAAGGCGACGAUCCGUAGCUGGUCUGAGAGGAUGAUCAGCCACACUGGAACUGAGACACGGUCCAGACUCCUACGGGAGGCAGCAGUGGGGAAUAUUGGACAAUGGGCGCAAGCCUGGUCCAGCCAUACCGCGUGGGUGAAGAAGGCCUUCGGGUUGUAAAGCCCUUUUGCUGGGAAAGAAAAGCAGCAGGUUAAUACCCCGCUGUUCUGACGGUACCCAAAGAAUAAGCACCGGCUAACUUCGUG
rnacentral:rRNA from 1 species